UGAUUAAUUUGUUUAAGUCGUAGCAGCUGUGAAUUGAUAAUAUUUGGUUGCUGCUGGUAAUAUAGUGCCAGGUUCUAGCGCUUGACUAAUUUUACUAUCCUGGUAGUUGCCACAGUUACUUAUCCAUAUAUAAUAAAGCAUGACAUCAACCAUUAAAUUACUUUGUGGUGUGCCAGUACAAUUUAUUUGACCAAGUUGACAGUUGUCAUCAGUUGCAAUUUGUUUGCCUCCCCAGAAUAAUCAACAUCACAUUUUUUGCUGCCACUGCUGCUCAAACUAUUUCUUGGCAUUUCAUUGGCAUGCCUGGGAACAUGUGAUUGCUGGCAGCAAUUAAGCCUGGACAUUCUAUUUGCGGGAUGGAGAAGCAGGGCUGGAGCUAGCCACAGGAGGUAGCGGCGGUGGCCUUCUUCCUCUAUGUCUCGGUGGUUCAGAUUAUGCUUGUUCUGGUGCAAGGGAGGGAUCCGGUAUAAAUUCGAGAUGUGCUGUCUCUGGGUUUGUGCUGCUGGUGCAGUUUUUCAAGUCAUGUAAAAUCCGGUGAAGAUUUUGUAACCAGAGCAGAAGGUUGUAAUGGAGUGUAAUUGUUUCGUUUGCAUGUGUGCAAUAUAUGAAUUUGCAUUGCGGUCGUCUUUAAUUGAUGGAGUUGAAUCUAGAAUGCAUGUAGAGCUGUGCAUAUGCU